rnacentral:pre_miRNA from 1 species
UAGUGGUGGUGGUGGUGGUGGUGGUGGUGGUGGUGGUGGUGGUGGUGCUGCUGUUGCUACUGCAGCUCAUGAUGGUGAUGAUGACGACGACCAUCAUCAUCAUCACCACCACCACCACCACCACCAUCAUCAUCAUCAUCAUCA